GGGAAGUAAAUACACAAGGUCCAGGGUCAGGCAGUAGUAACAUAGUAGCCUACAUUCAUUUGAUCAAUGUUGCGGAUACAACUUCAUUCAUGACUACCGAAGUGUCAGUGUUGUAUUUCGCCAAAAGUGCUGAGUUGACGGGACUCAAAUCAGAGACGAUCAGGGUCCCUUCAGAACUGACGACCCGAGACGAUCAGAGUCCCUUCAGAACUGACGACCCUCAAGCUGUGGGAGGACCUUGUCAACAGACACCCCAGACUGUUUGCAGUGCGUGAUUCAUUCGUUUUGGCUGUGCGUCAGGAGUAUGUGGCCCUUGGGGACCAGCGCAUGAGCCUGAGGGACGGUGACGAGGUCGCUGUCAUUCCACCUCUAAGCGGGGGAUAAAUAGGCCUGUUAAUUCAGAAGGCUAUCUAUCUCCACCAAUUUCAGUUUGACUUAUUUUAGCUUCCUCAACCCUCAUUCCUGACACAGAGAUGUCUGAAAAAGCUGACCCAUGACAAGCUCUCUGUGGACGCAGUGUCAGACUCUGUCACCUCCCCCUCCUGUGGCGCUAUUUCUAUCUUCAUAGCGAGGACAAGGAACAAUUUUGAGGGGAAGAAGAUGGUGCAGCUGGAGUAUGAAGCCUACGUCUCCAUGGCCCAAUCAGAACUCAGGAAGAUCUACACAGACAUCAGGGCAAGACUGGUGCCUGUGACUGAGGCCAGUGUGAUCAUCAGCAUCUCAUCUCCUCACCGAGGGGAUUCUCUGGAGGCAGUGCAAUUCUGUAUAGACACCCUGAAAGCCACCGUGCACAUAUGGAAGAAGGUCGAAAGACCCUGAUCAUGUAGUUACAGACAGAUAAGCAAAAUAGGUUGCUUAUAAUAUGUAAUAAUAAUAUAUGCCAUUUAGCAGAGCUUUUAUCCAAAUGCGACUUAGUCAUUCGUGCAUACGUUUUAAGUAUUGGUGGUCCCGGGAAUCAAACCCACUAUCCUGGCAUAGCAAGCGCCAUGCUUUACCAGCUGAGCUACAGAUGACCAGUUAUUGUUGUUACGGAAAUGCUAUACGUGUUAAUAUAAUGUUGCUACACAGGUAUAAGAGCAACUUAAUGUAUGUAUGGUGUAGUUAGUACAAUGCUGUCCACAAGGCAUAGGGUAUUCAUUAAGUAAGAGUUGUGUGAACUUCCACAGUGAAACUAAUCAUUGUCAAGUGACAGUCACACGGCUCCAGAGCCUGUCUGAAGCCUGUCUGACACAGUUUGAAUUAGUGCAUUAUGCUGCGUUCAUAACCAAGUGAUAAGGUGGUAUUCACCACAUAGCACUGGGAAAAAGCCAAUUGAACGCCCCUCCAACUGGUCAUUUCUAGUGGGCAACUUCUAUCAUCCUGAUCACAGACUUCUCCUACAUGCUGACCUCUGAUGGGACCUACUAAGGAAAUUACCUCUAUAACAGCAUUUUCGGCAGUUAAAUGUAACAACAAAACA